rnacentral:siRNA from 1 species
GGAAAUCGUCGAGAAAAAUCUA